CAAACAACUCAUGAAUAAACGCACACAUGUUGAAUUUCAAGACCCGAGUCGUAAAUAUACACAUACGUGGGUUAAUGUCAUCAGUCUGGUUAAACGUUUAUUGAAGGUAGAUUAGUUGGGAUAUUUUUUCUUUUUGAAUAUUGAAAUCCUAGAUAAACUGAUGAGUUAAUAAGUGAGUACAGUGACUAACAUAAGUCAGUAUCAUGAAAGUAGAAAAGUUUGAAUGAGUGGUUGCAAGGUGUUUUCCCGAUGGAUUUUCAUGCGUGCCAUUGAGAGAAAUAACUCUUCCAGAGUUUCAAAUUCUCUUGGAGUCAGCAGCCUCCGGGAAGGUGAUGAAAAUGAUACUCAGAACAUUCCUCCACGGGCUCGUGGCUAGAUAGAGUUAUCUUGAAGACGAUAAAAAAGAAUUUAUAACAAUGCCGCACAUCACGAGGAAGUGGGAAUUAUUUCCUGGAAGAAAUAGAUUUUGCUGUGAUGGCAGGAUCAUGAUGGCCCCUCAAACGGGCAUUUUUUAUAUUACUGUAUGCCUGAUAGUUGGAACUAGUGCUUUAUUUUUCAUUUAUGACUGCCCAUACUUGGCACUUCAUGUUACUCCAGCGAUUCCUGUUAUCGGUGGAUUACUUUUUAUGUUUGUCAUGUCAGCAUUAUUGCGAACAAGUUUUAGUGACCCCGGUGUCAUUCCUAGGGCUACCCCUGAUGAGGCAGCUUACAUUGAGAAACAAAUAGAAGUGCCAAAUAAUGGAAAUUCGCCAACAUAUAGGCCACCACCUCGCACAAAAGAAAUUCUAGUGAAAGGACAGCCAGUUAAAUUAAAAUACUGCUUUACCUGUAAAAUCUUUAGACCGCCUAGAGCGUCUCAUUGUAGUCUCUGCGACAAUUGUGUAGAAGGAUUCGAUCAUCAUUGUCCGUGGGUCGGUAAUUGUGUAGGUCGACGAAAUUAUAGAUAUUUUUAUGCGUUUAUCGUGUCCUUGGCCUUUCUAUGCGUCUUUAUCUUCGCUUGUGCGAUAACACAUUUAAUUAUGCUCACAAGAGACGAUAAACAAUUUCUAGAAGCUAUUAAAAUGUCUCCAGGAAGUGUUGUUGUUGGUGUUGUCUGUUUUUUCUCCGUUUGGAGCAUCUUGGGUCUUGCUGGUUUUCAUACAUACCUCACAAGCAGUAAUCAAACCACUAAUGAAGAUAUAAAAGGCUCAUUUUCAAGUAAACGUGAACAAGAAGGCUUUAACCCCUACAGUCAAGGAAAUAUUUGUGGCAACUGUUUUUAUGUUCUCUGUGGCCCUGCACCUCCAAGUCUAAUUGAUCGAAGGGGAAUCGUGACUCCUGGUUACAGAGCUGAGCGUGAAAAAACUGGUGAUGACUAUGUUCUUGCUAAUAAUAAAGCUUAUGGAACAGUUAAAGUAGUGCAACCACAGGCAAACGGACAUGGUAUCCAAAAAGUACAUUUGGAAAGUGAGUUAACAAGUUCGAUGAAUAAUCUCGUCUCUGGACAGCGUUCACCACGAAUAGAAUCACUCAACGGUGAGUUAUCAAUAAUGAGUCAGGCUUCACACUGUCCGGAUGAUUUAUCUAAAUACCACCAACACACAAAUGACACUUACAUUCUAAAAUAUCCAACACCAAGACGUUGCGCUCAAGAUCGCGUGCAACCUGAUGAUACUUAUGCGGCCGAAAUAGAACGCCUAAAUGUCCAAGUGCAAAAAUUCAAUUAUCGAUGUGAGGAAAAUUUUCAAAAAUAUCCGCAAAGAUGUCGAGAUGAAUUUCAACGUUGCUCUGACAAUAAUUUGAUUUAUGAUCAAUACACGGUUGAACAUAAAUAUGGAGUUGAUCUCCAAAGAUAUCCACGGGGAUAUUCUGAAGAUUUAUUAAGGUACAGAGAAGAUGAAUAUCGAACAACAGUAGAUUUACAAAAAUUUCCACAACGUUACAGUGAAGAUCCUCCGCGGCCACGUUAUUCACCUCAGACAAUUAAAUACAAUAAUCUCAGAUGUAAUCAACAUGGCUUUAAAUAUCCAAUCACCAAGAAUAUUUUACCUAAUAGAAUUUUAGGGUCAGGAAAUAUUCCAAUGAUUGGCCAAACCGCGAUCGGUCUAGUAGUUAAUAGAUUCGGUUCUGUACCAUUAAAUCAUGAUAUGAUAUAUACUGAAAAUGCUUUAUACUCUGAAGAAAACGUGGAGGAUAGUUUACUAAAUCGUCGUUAUGCUAUUAAUUCAUUGAGUGACAAUGAUUGACAAUGAUUACUUAAUUCUCAUCACACUCGCACAAAUAUUUCUCACUUUUUAUUGAGACAUCAUAUUGACGACAAAAAAAUCCUUCACUCAGAUAAAUGAAAUUGAAAAUAAAAAUAAUAAUUGUGUUUAAAAGAGAUUAACACUUAUUAACAAGGAUUUAAUAUAAACUCGUUUGAGAGAUAAAAUAACCUUGAAAAUGCAAUAUAAGUCUAAGUAUCUUUGUAAUCUAAAUAACACGUUCAUUUUACAAUGAUAAGUCAAUAAAACGUGUUUCUUUGUUUAUAAUUACGACCUAUUAUCGAGGGCUCUGUCCGUGCCGUUCGGAAGCACGACAAAUAGUGUAAGUCAUCUUGUCACCAAUGAAGUACCAUUGGCAUCAUUAAAUAUUCCACCAAUUGACAUCGAUGAUAUUGCUCCACUUCCACCGAGACAGAGUGUCAUUGUUCCACCUGUCUUAGAC